rnacentral:rRNA from 1 species
AUGUACAACCCUAGAAUCUAUUUGUGGAAGCAGUCAUCCAUGUUACCAGAUGGUAGCAGUUCAGAGGCAACACCGCCGAAGAGUAGUCUGAGCACAGAUAUUAUAGUGCUUGAGGCUCUACUAGAGGCAGAAAGAGAUGGUGUGGCUGCCAUGAAUGAGGUAAUCUUUAUCUUGAGGCUGGAAAUUAUGGAAUUAACGGCACGCAUUAUGCAAGCAACCCAAGAAUUGGAGGAAGUAAGAAUGUUGCAUUUGAAGACGGAGGAGGUCCUGCUGUUUCUGCUAUCUGAAGCCCAAGGUAAUCCCGGUUCUUCUUUAGAUACCAGUUGA